rnacentral:lncRNA from 1 species
CCCUGCCCUCCGUCUCUGCAGGGCAGAAGAUGGGGCGGGGAGAGACGGGGGGGGUGGGGAGGGGACGGGGUGGGGGGCUUUCGACCCAUCCCUGAUAUUCAGGGACCUUCCCGUUUCCCCCGUUCUACCUUCCCCUCCGUCCCCCGGUGAUUUUCUAUCCCGCCGGCCGGCCCGGGGAUGGAGUGAGAUGGGCGGCCUCCGUCCGAGGGACCGUGCGAGGGGGUAGGCCGGGGCUGUGUGGACGAUGCCCCGAUCUGCCUCCCACCUCUCCCCACUUUUUCUCUCUUUCACGCUCCCCUCCCCGGGGAUGUGGCCGAAGCGGUGGGGCCGGAGCGGUGGGGGCCCGGGGAGCAGAGGACGUACAACGGGAGUCGGGGGGAGGGGGGGGGUCUUCACCGCCCCAACUCCGGGAUCCCAGACCGAUGUCCCCCCCCGGGCUUCCGACUUCAACGGCCGUCCGGGUCAGCGAGGGCCCACGGUUCAUUCGAUCGGAUUUAUCGAGCGCUUGCGGUGCGCGAAGCACUGUUGGCUUCGAGAGUCAACUGGGUGAGGGCGCGGGGGGCAGGCGGUGUCCCCCUUGGUUUCCAAGGCUGUCCUUGGCUCUCCUGCUCCUCAUUUACCUCCCAUCCUCUCCCUCUUCCAGUUUCUCCCUCUCCCGGGGUCCCGGGUGGAGCUGAGAGACCGGAGGAAGCUUGCUCAGGGGUCGGGACUCCUGGAUACUUUGCUCGGAUUUGGGGGGGUGAGAAGAGGUCCCUGCCCCAGCCCCAUCUCUGCCCACGGGUCGCCACUUGCUUGGACGACCAGGGGGUCGAGGAGGAGCCCGGGGAGGGGUGGGGAAGAGGAAGCGGGUGCGAGAGACAAGAGAAGGAGCUCACAGAGGCCCAGCAAGGAGGGAGUCUGGGAGCUCACAAACCCGAGUGUCCCUCCCCCGGUCCGCAGACCUCGGAGUGCCCCCAACGCCGCCCCCACUGUGGGGUAGAUACAAGAUAUUCAGGUUGUCCCACGUGGGGCUUCACAGUCUUAAUACUCAUGUUACAGAUGAGGUCACCGAGGCACAGAGAAGUUAACUGAUUUGCCCAGGUUCACACGGCGGACGAGUGGUGGAGCCGGGAUUAGAACCCACGACCUCUGACUCCCAAAGCCGUGCUCUUGCCACUAGGCCACACUGCUCAACUCUGGCUUUUUCUCUUUUCUCUGUCCGCUCAUCUCGGGCUGUCUCUGCCUGUCUCUCCUCUUCAGCCUCCGC